AAAUAAAAAACAAAGCCACAAAAAUUACCAUUUGAAAUUAGGAAAGUCAUGUCUCUCUCAAAGCAGAUCGUGAGCUUCUGCGGAUUUAACCAAUUUGUUGCUGCUAAGUUCUUCUUCCCUGUCCUUGUUCUCUUCAGUCUCCUUGGUCCCCUUUGUUGCACUUGUAGCAUCCCUUGUAUCAUCUAAUUUGUCAUUGUUUAGCAGAGUUGCAAAGGCAUUAUUAGUGCUGACUCCUUCGAGGCUAGUGAGAAGACAGCUUCUCUAGCAAAGAAAUUAGGCGGCAAGUCUGGUAAACUAAUCCAUGCUACUGCUAUUGAUGGCUCCUCUUCUUGAACAAACCAAUGAUUCCACUUCAAUGGUCUCAUCUGACAGUACAGGUUGUGCACCUUCAAAUAGUAUGUUGGGGUCGACAUCAUCUUCACAUAAUCCUCCAAUUAAAACAUGUCUGUUUUCUAAUAGUCCUAUGUUUCAUGGCCCUUUGAUCUCGCACUGUACUGGGAUUACUUUACGUAAUUCAUGUAAAUCUGGCUUAUCAUAAGAGAACUUUCCUAGAAUUGCAUAUUGUAAAUUCUCUUGUAUGAUCAUCUGUUGAACUUCUGAUGACUUCCAAGUGAUUUGUGGCUCACCGUGUAGGUAAACCACUGUCUUCCUCUGAAUUGGCAUUGGGUUGUAAUCUGGUAUUAAUACUUCUG